UUUAAGUGUAGCCAUGAGUUUCCGUGUCCAACGUUUGACCAUCCGUCUUAUUUUAAAUUUUUUAUUAUUAUUAGAUGAUAAAACAUGAAUAGUACUUUAUGCAUGACUCAUUUUUGUUAAAAUUUUCAAAUAAGACAGACGGUCAAACAUUUGACACGGAAAAUCACAACUGCAUUUAAA
rfam:Oryza nivara chromosome 2, whole genome shotgun sequence.